rnacentral:rRNA from 1 species
CAAUAGCGUAUAUUAAAGUUGUUGCGGUAAAAAAGCUCGUAGUUGGAUUUCUACCGAAGAUCGCCGGUCGGGUCUUCGACCUUGUAUCUGGUUUUGUCUUUGGUAUCCUCAUAGGGAACGUUUCUGCGCUUUAUUGCGUGGUGCGGUAUCUAUGACUUUUACUUUGAGGAAAUUAGAGUGUUCACGGCAGGCAAACGCCUUGAAUAUAUUAGCAUGGAAUAAUAACAUAGGAUCUUCGUCCUAUUUUGUUGGUUUCUAGGGCUAAGAUAAUGAUUAAUAGGGAUAAUUGGGGGCAUCUGUAUCAACGCGUCAGAGGUGGAAUUCUUGGAUUGCGUUGCGACAAACUACUGCGAAAGCAUUUGCCAAGGAUGUUUUCAUUGA